rnacentral:tRNA from 1 species
GCGGAAGUGGCGAAAUUGGCAGACGCGCAAGACUUAGGAUCUUGUGAGGCAACUCGUGCGGGUUCGAGUCCCGCCUUCCGCACCA